AGCAGGACAACCGUGGAGAAACUGAAUUUCAACAUUUGAUUUCGGUUUUUAUAGUGCAAUAUCACUCAAACGAUCGUCGAAAAUUCAGAUUGAAGCAAUGUAAAUCUGUAUUGAACAGAUCUGGAGCUCCCCCUCAAAUCCAAAAAAAAAGUUGCAUUAUCGUUUGAAAAUGGUUUCGAAAUCAUGAAGAAGUGUUAUAUGACAAGUACCAAGAGCUAGCAUAUGCACAAGGAAUUUAUUGUGGAAAAGAUAGAGUACAGAACAGUUUGAGAAAUGGUUAGUUUCCCAAAAUUUAAAUGAAGUUUCUUAAUAGUUUUAUUCUCGUUUCUUUGUAGUUUAUUAACUACCAAAAAAAUGGC